rnacentral:rRNA from 1 species
UACGGAGGGUGCAAGCGUUAUCCGGAUUCACUGGGUUUAAAGGGUGCGUAGGCGGGCAGGUAAGUCAGUGGUGAAAUCUUUGGGCUUAACCCGAAAACUGCCAUUGAUACUAUCUGUCUUGAAUAUUGUGGAGGUUUGCGGAAUAUGUCAUGUAGCGGUGAAAUGCUUAGAUAUGACAUAGAACACCUAUUGCGAAGGCAGCAAACUACGCAUAUAUUGACGCUGAGGCACGAAAGCGUGGGGAGCGAACAGG